GCCAAUGUGGUGUAGUGGUUUGAGUGUUGGACUAUGACUCUGGAGACCAGGGUUCAAUUCCCAAUCUGGCC
rnacentral:tRNA from 1 species